rnacentral:rRNA from 1 species
GAUGAACGCUGGCGGCGUGCCUAAUACAUGCAAGUCGAGCGAACGGACGAGAAGCUUGCUUCUUUGACGUUAGCGGCGGACGGGUGAGUAACACGUAGAUAACCUACCUAUAAGACUGGGAUAACUUCGGGAAACCGGAGCUAAUACCGGAUAAUAUUUUGAACCGCAUGGUUCAAUAGUAAAAGACGGCCUUGCUAUCACUUAUAGAUGGACCUGCGCUGCAUUAGCUAGUUGGUAAGGUAACGGCUUACCAAGGCAACGAUACAUAGCCGACCUGAGAGGGUGAUCGGCCACACUGGAACUGAGACACGGUCCAGACUCCUACGGGAGGCAGCAGUAGGGAAUCUUCCGCAAUGGGCGAAAGCCUGACGGAGCAACGCCGCGUGAGUGAUGAAGGUCUUCGGAUCGUAAAACUCUGUUAUUAGGGAAGAACAUAUGUGUAAGUAACUGUGCACAUCUUGACGGUACCUAAUCAGAAAGCCACGGCUAACUACGUG